rnacentral:rRNA from 1 species
UACAGAGGUCUCAAGCGUUGUUCGGAUUCAUUGGGCGUAAAGGGUGCGUAGGUGGCGAGGCAAGUCAGGUGUGAAAUCCCAGGGCUCAACCCUGGAACUGCACUUGAUACUACUUUGCUUGAGUACUGGAGAGGAGAUUGGAAUUUACGGUGUAGCAGUGAAAUGCGUAGAUAUCGUAAGGAAGACCAGUGGCGAAGGCGAAUCUCUGGACAGUUACUGACACUGAGGCACGAAGGCCAGGGGAGCAAACAGG